rnacentral:rRNA from 1 species
UAACGAAUCUUCCCCAAUGCACGCAAGUGUGAGGGAGCGACGCCGCGUGUGGGACGAAGUCCUUCGGGAUGUAAACCACUGUCAGGGGAUACCAAGUUCUGAGGAUCCCCAGAGGAAGAGGCGGCUAACUCUGUGCCAGCAGCCGCGGUAAGACAGAGGCCUCAAGCGUUAGGCGGAAUCACUGGGCUUAAAGCGUGUGUAGGCGGAUGCCUAAGUACCUUGUGAAAUCCCACGGCUCACCCGUGGAACUGCUGGGUAUACUGGGUGUCUUGGGCCAUUCAGGGGCAACUGGAACAAGCGGUGGAGCGGUGAAAUGCGUAGAUAUCGCUUGGAACGCCGAAGGUGAAAACAGGUUGCUGGGAAUGUGCCGACGCUGAGACACGAAAGCCAGGGGAGCGAACGGGAUUAGAUACCCCCGUAGUCC